AUAUAAAUAAGCUAAGUUUAAGCUAAUAGGCUCAUACCCUGUCAAUAGAUUAUAAUAUCUUUUAUAUA
rnacentral:tRNA from 1 species